AUUGAACGCUGGCGGCAUGCCUUACACAUGCAAGUCGAACGGUAACGGGCCUUCGGGUGCCGACGAGUGGCGAACGGGUGAGUAAUACAUCGGAACGUGCCCGAUCGUGGGGGAUAACGAGGCGAAAGCUUUGCUAAUACCGCAUACGAUCUACGGAUGAAAGCAGGGGACCGCAAGGCCUUGCGCGGACGGAGCGGCCGAUGGCAGAUUAGGUAGUUGGUGGGAUAAAAGCUUACCAAGCCGACGAUCUGUAGCUGGUCUGAGAGGAUGAUCAGCCACAAUGGGACUGAGAACAGGCCCAGACUCCUAAGGGAGGCAGCAGUGGGGAAAUUUGGACAAUGGGCGGAAGCCUGAUCCAGGCAUGGCGCGGGCAGGAUGAAGGCCUUCGGGUUGUAAACUGCUUUUGUAAGGAAAGAAAAGCCUUCUUUUAGGAAAGGAGGGUUAAGAAGGUACCGGAAGAAUAAGCACCGGCUAACUAAGGG
rnacentral:rRNA from 1 species